rnacentral:rRNA from 1 species
GACGAACGCUGGCGGCGUGCCUAAUACAUGCAAGUCGAACGCAGUGGGGACGGGUGAGUAACACGUGGGUAACCUCCCAUCAGAGGGGAUAACACUUGGAAACAGGUGCUCAACCUAUACUGAUGGAUGGACCCGCGGUGCAUGAGCUAGUGGGUGAGGUAACGGCUCACCAAGGCCCAGAUUCAUAGCCGACCUGAGAGGGGGAUCGGCCACACUGGGACUGAGAACAGGCCCAGACUCCUACGGGAGGCAGCAGUAGGGAAUCUGCGGCAAUGGACGAAAGUCUGACCGAGCAACGCCGCGUGAGUGAAGAAGGUUUUCGGAUCGUAAAACUCUGUUGUUAGAGAAGCGGUAUCUAACCAGAAAGCCACGGCUAACUACGUGCCAGCAGCCGCGGUAAUUC